rnacentral:lncRNA from 1 species
AGCCAAUUAUCUCGCUUUUGUGUGAGGCCCAAGGAUCACUCAUGCUUCCAGGCUGCACAGAGCACUGUUGGAUCUAGCUGAACGAAUUGUUUUCUCUGUCUCUGGGUAUCAACGGUUUCUGUACAGCACAGAUUAUGACAGCGUCUUUCUUAAGUGUACUCAGGCUCUCUCAGCCCUCACUGUGCUUCAACAGACUUAUCAUUUGGAGCACUGGCUCAGGAGUCGAAAUCACCAAUGGCUCAUCCAUC